rnacentral:rRNA from 1 species
ACAGGUGCUGCAUGGCUGUCGUCAGCUCGUGUCGUGAGAUGUUCGGUUAAGUCCGCUAACGAGCGCAACCCUCACUGUGUGUUACAUGUGUCACACGGGACUGCCGGCUUUAAGCCGGAGGAAGGCGGGGAUGACGUCAAGUCAGCAUGGCCUUUAUAUCCUGGGCUACACACACGCUACAAUGGUCUGUACAAUAGGUUGCCAAGCCGCGAGGCGGAGCCAAUCCAUAAAGCAGGCCUCAGUUCAGAUUGCAGUCUGCAACCCGACUGCAUGAAGAUGGAGUUGCUAGUAACCGCAGGUCAGCUAUACUGCGGUGAAUACGUUCCCGGGUCUU